AGAGCGAACGCUGGCGGCAGGCUUAACACAUGCAAGUCGAGCGGGCGUAGCAAUACGUCAGCGGCAGACGGGUGAGUAACGCGUGGGAACGUACCUUUGGUUCGGAACAACACAGGGAAACUUGUGCUAAUACCGGAUAAGCCCUUACGGGGAAAGAUUUAUCGCCGAAAGAUCGGCCCGCGUCUGAUUAGCUAGUUGGUGAGGUAACGGCUCACCAAGGCGACGACCAGUAGCUGGUCUGAGAGGAUGAUCAGCCACAUUGGGACUGAGACACGGCCCAAACUCCUACGGGAGGCAGCAGUGGGGAAUAUUGGACAAUGGGCGCAAGCCUGAUCCAGCCAUGCCGCGUGAGUGAUGAAGGCCCUAGGGUUGUAAAGCUCUUUUGUGCGGGAAGAUAAUGACGGUACCGCAAGAAUAAGCCCGGCUAACUUCGUGCCAGCAGCCGC
rnacentral:rRNA from 1 species